rfam:Myotis lucifugus cont2.39539, whole genome shotgun sequence.
GGUGGUUCUUGGGUGACACACCCCAGAAUCAGGCUCCCUCCUCUCUGGUUCUGGGUGCAUCACCCGAAAAUUGCA